AACAUGGAACGAGUGGCGGACGGGUGAGUAACACGUGGGUAACCUGCCCUUAAGUGGGGGAUAACAUUUGGAAACAGAUGCUAAUACCGCAUAGAUCCAAGAACCGCAUGGUUCUUGGCUGAAAGAUGGCGUAAGCUAUCGCUUUUGGAUGGACCCGCGGCGUAUUAGCUAGUUGGUGAGGUAAUGGCUCACCAAGGCGAUGAUACGUAGCCGAACUGAGAGGUUGAUCGGCCACAUUGGGACUGAGACACGGCCCAAACUCCUACGGGAGGCAGCAGUAGGGAAUCUUCCACAAUGGACGCAAGUCUGAUGGAGCAACGCCGCGUGAGUGAAGAAGGCUUUCGGGUCGUAAAACUCUGUUGUUGGAGAAGAAUGGUCGGCAGAGUAACUGUUGUCGGCGUGACGGUAUCCAACCAGAAAGCCACGGCUAACUACGUGCCAGCAGCCGCGGUAAUACGUAGGUGGCAAGCGUUAUCCGGAUUUAUUGGGCGUAAAGCGAGCGCAGGCGGUUUUUUAAGUCUGAUGUGAAAGCCCUCGGCUUAACCGAGGAAGCGCAUCGGAAACUGGGAAACUUGAGUGCAGAAGAGGACAGUGGAACUCCAUGUGUAGCGGUGAAAUGCGUAGAUAUAUGGAAGAACACCAGUGGCGAAGGCGGCUGUCUGGUCUGUAACUGACGCUGAGGCUCGAAAGCAUGGGUAGCGAACAGGAUUAGAUACCCUGGUAGUCCAUGCCGUAAACGAUGAAUGCUAGGUGUUGGAGGGUUUCCGCCCUUCAGUGCCGCAGCUAACGCAUUAAGCAUUCCGCCUGGGGAGUACGACCGCAAGGUUGAAACUCAAAGGAAUUGACGGGGGCCCGCACAAGCGGUGGAGCAUGUGGUUUAAUUCGAAGCAACGCGAAGAACCUUACCAGG
rnacentral:rRNA from 1 species